CACGUAGGGUGCGAGCGUUGUCCGGAAUUAUUGGGCGUAAAGAGCUCGUAGGCGGUGUGUCGCGUCGGCCGUGAAAACCUGCAGCUUAACUGUGGGCUUGCGGUCGAUACGGGCAUCACUGGAGUUCGGCAGGGGAGACUGGAAUUCCUGGUGUAGCGGUGAAAUGCGCAGAUAUCAGGAGGAACACCGGUGGCGAAGGCGGUUCUCUGGGCCUGAUCUGACGCUGAGGAGCGAAAGCGUGGGGAGCGAACAGG
rnacentral:rRNA from 1 species